rnacentral:rRNA from 1 species
UACGGGGGGGGCAAGCGUUGUUCGGAAUUACUGGGCGUAAAGGGCUCGUAGGCGGCCAACUAAGUCGGACGUGAAAUCCCUCAGCUUAACUGGGGAACUGCGUCUGAUACUGGAUGGCUUGGAUUCGGGAGAGGGAUGCGGAAUUCCAGGUGUAGCGGUGAAAUGCGUAGAUAUCCAUAGGAACUCCGGUGGCGAAAGCGGUGUGCUGGAUCCUUUCUGACGCUGAGGCGCGAAAGCCAGGGGAGCAAACGGG